rnacentral:rRNA from 1 species
AUUGAACGCUGGCGGCAGGCCUAACACAUGCAAGUCGAGCGGAGCGGCGGACGGGCGAGUAAUGCCUGGGAAUCUGCCUGGUCGUGGGGGAGAAAUUCCGGAAACGGGCGCUAAUUCCGCAUAAUAUCAGACGAGCCAACGUCGGAGUAGCUAGUUGGUGGGGUAAAGGCCUACCAAGGCGACGAUCCGUAACUGGUCUGAGAGGAUGAUCAGUCACAAUGGAACUGAGACACGGUCCAGACUCCUACGGUAGGCAGCAGUGGGGAAUAUUGGACAAUGGGCGAAAGCCUGAUCCAGCCAGGCCGCGUGUGUGAAGAAGGUCUUCGGAUUGUAAAGCACUUGAAGUUGGGAGGCGUUACCGACAGAAGAAGCACCGGCUAACUCCGUGCCAGCAGCCGCGGUAAUUC